UCCCUAGUGGCUUAGAUGGUAAAGAAUCUGCUUCCAAUGCAGGAGACCCAGAUUCAAUCCCUGGGUCAGGAA
rnacentral:tRNA from 1 species